UGUGACCUCAAAUCAGGUAGGACUACCCGCUGAACUUAAGCAUAUCAAUAAGCGGAGGAAAAGAAACUAACAAGGAUUCCCCUAGUAACUGCGAGUGAAGCGGGAAAAGCUCAAAUUUAAAAUCUGGCAGUCUUUGGCUGUCCGAGUUGUAAUCUAGAGAAGUGUUAUCCGCGCUG
rnacentral:rRNA from 1 species